rnacentral:rRNA from 1 species
GAUGAACGCUGGCGGCGUGCCUAAUACAUGCAAGUCGAGCGAACAGACGAGGAGCUUGCUCCUCUGACGUUAGCGGCGGACGGGUGAGUAACACGUGGAUAACCUACCUAUAAGACUGGGAUAACUUCGGGAAACCGGAGCUAAUACCGGAUAAUAUAUUGAACCGCAUGGUUCAAUAGUGAAAGACGGUUUUGCUGUCACUUAUAGAUGGAUCCGCGCCGCAUUAGCUAGUUGGUAAGGUAACGGCUUACCAAGGCAACGAUGCGUAGCCGACCUGAGAGGGUGAUCGGCCACACUGGAACUGAGACACGGUCCAGACUCCUACGGGAGGCAGCAGUAGGGAAUCUUCCGCAAUGGGCGAAAGCCUGACGGAGCAACACCGCGUGAGUGGUGAAGGUCUUCGGAUCGUAAAACUCUGUUAUUAGGGAAGAACAAAUGUGUAAGUAACUAUGCACGUCUUGACGGUACCUAAUCAGAAAGCCACGGCUAACUACGUG